UGGGUGCGAGAGCGUCUGUG
rfam:Canis lupus familiaris chromosome 8, whole genome shotgun sequence.